rnacentral:rRNA from 1 species
UGAGUAACCUGCCCUUCUCAUCGGAAUAAGCGUUGGAAACGACGUCUAAUGCCGAAUACGACCUCCUUUCGCAUGAUCGGAGGUGGAAAGCUCCGGCGGAGAAGGAUGAACUCGCGGCCUAUCAGCUAGUUGGUGUGGGUAAUGGCCCACCAAGGCGACGACGGGUAGCCGGCCUGAGAGGGUGACCGGCCACACUGGGACUGAGACACGGCCCAGACUCCUACGGGAGCAGNAGU